AUUGAACGCUGGCGGCAGGCCUAACACAUGCAAGUCGAGCGAGCGGCGGACGGGUGAGUAAUGUAUGGGGAACUGCCUGAUGGAGGGGGAUAACUACUGGAUACGGUAGCUACUACCGCAUACCAUCAGAUGCACCCAUAUGGGAAUAGCUUGUCGGUGGGGUAACGGCUCACCUAGGCGACGAUCCCUAGCUGGUCUGAGAGUAUGACCAGCCACACUGGGACUGAGACACGGCCCAGACUCCUACGGGAGGCAGCAGUGGGGAAUAUUGCACAAUGGGCGCAAGCCUGAUACAGCCAUGCCGCGUGUAUGAAGAAGGCCUUCGGGUUGUAAAGUACUUUCAGUCGGGAGGCGUUACCGACAGAAGAAGCACCGGCUAACUCCGUGCCAGCAGCCGCGGUAAUAC
rnacentral:rRNA from 1 species